GGAAAGACCACAGUUCAGUGGAAGAGCAUCUACUUGGCAUGCAUAAAAUCCCAGGUUCAAUCCCUGGCAUUUCCA
rnacentral:tRNA from 1 species